rnacentral:rRNA from 1 species
AACAAACGCUGGCGGCGUGCCUAAUACAUGCAAGUCGAACGGGGAAAGCUUUCGGGUGAGUACUAGUGGCGCACGGGUGAGUAACGCGUGGAUAAUCUGCCUUAGAGUGGGGGAUAACUAGUCGAAAGAUUAGCUAAUACCGCAUAAGACCACAAGAACUGCGGUUCAAGGGGUCAAAGGUUUUUCGCUCUAAGAUGAGUCCGCGUAAGAUUAGCUAGUUGGUAGGGUAACGGCCUACCAAGGCGACGAUCUUUAACUGGUCUGAGAGGAUGAUCAUUCACAUUGGAACUGAGACACGGUCCAGACUCCUACGGGAGGCAGCAGUAGGGAAUAUUGCACAAUGGAGGAAACUCUGAUGCAGCGACGCCGCGUGAGUGAUGAAGGCCUUCGGGUCGUAAAGCUCUGUCGCAGGGGAAUAACACAAUGAAGGUACCCUGUAAGAAAGGAUCGGCUAACUUCGUGCCAGCAGCCGCCGUAAUAC